rnacentral:rRNA from 1 species
AUGAAGGAUGCUGGGUAUGGUAUAUUUCCCACUAUUCUUUCAGUAUGUCAUUCUCCUGACUGGUUGAUUGACACGGGUGCUAAUGUGCAUGUAUGCGGUGAUAUUUCCAUGUUUUCGUCUUAUCAGACCGCAGGGACUUCAACCGUGCUGAUGGGCAACGGUUCAAGUGCUUCUGUUCGUGGUGUUGGCACGGUCGAUCUGAAAUUUACUUCGGGGAAGAUCGUGUGGCUGAAGAACGUGCAUUAUGUCCCCUCCGUCAAUAAAAAUCUUGUUAGCGGAUCUCUUCUGUGUAGAGAUGGCUAUAAGCUUGUCUUUGAG